GUAUUUUCCAAUAAGCUAUCUACAGUGUUACUUAGCACCAGGUGUUUUUGACUGGAGGUUGGAGUGCAAAAGCUUGGAGAAUAUAUUAUAUUUGGUAAGAUUUAUCAAUUCAAAACCAGGUGCUAUUCUGGGUGUUAAAUAUCAAUCACCAUGGAAACCAGCAGAAUGUCUCACUUAGCACUUUUCACUCAAAACACCUGUUCUUCCUUGAUAAAUCUGAUGUUUUAGUGUUAACAAAUCUCAGGUCAAUGACAUAUUUGCAGUUUAAAGCUAUCUCACCCAUGAAGGCCCUAUGUCAGCAUAGAACAUUUAUUUUCAAAUUUUGGUGGUUUUGUUAAAG